GUGCUCGCUUCGGCAGCACAUAUACUAAACUUGGAACAAUACAGAGAAGAUUAGCACGGUACCUGGCACAAGGAUGACACGCAUAUUUGUGAAGCAUUCUACAUUUAA